rnacentral:rRNA from 1 species
GGAGGAGGCAAGCGUUGUCCGGGAAUUAUUGGGGCGUAAAGAGCGCGUAGGCUGGUUUUUCAAGUCAUAUGUGAAAAACCUCAGGGCUUAACUUGAGGGACUGCAUAUGAAACUGGAAAACUUGAGUGCAGUAGGGGAAAGUGGAAUUCCUGGUGUAGCGGUGAAAUGCGCAGAUAUCAGGAAGAACACCGGUAGCGAAGGCGGCUUUCUGGGCUGCUACUGACGCUGAGGCGCGAAAGCUAGGGGAGCAAACAGGAUUAGAUACCCUGGUAGUCCUAGCUGUAAACGAUGGACACUAGGUGUGGGAAGUUAUCGACGCUUUCCGUGCCGGAGCUAACGCAUUAAGUGUCCCGCCUGGGGAGUACGGCCGCAAAGGCUAA